CCAGAAUCACUGUGGGAGGCCUCCAGAAAACACUUAGUGUUCUGUUAGUGCCCUCUGCAGUUCUCUUCAGAAUCAACUUUGAGGAGUGGCUGGAGUAGAAGGGCUUCUACUAGACAAACCUUCCUCCUUCUUCACUUCGCAGUAAGCUGUUUCUUUCUCACACUUCCCUAUAAUUACCAGGGACCUGGCAUGUUCAUUUUGUACUCUGCAAGGAAGCCCACUUCACAGGAGGAUCACUCUUCAGUAAAGAUAUGUUAAGAGUGAUCAACUGGACACUGUCUCUCCAGCUGGAACAAGGAGCUAGAGAAUCACCUCCUCUGAGUUAUAUAGGCUGUAGGUUAUUAUCCAAAUGUAUCUUUGACACACACUACCUGAUAAAAAGCAGAGUUUUUAUGUUCUAGCUUAAUUCUAUUUCACACAUGAACCUGCUAUAGACAUGUAAGUAAAUCAUUCUUAUACAGGAUGGGAAGGGUACAAUUUCCAUCCAGGAACCAUUCACUCUACUUUGCUGUAAAAGUUGACUUGAAGAAACUGCCAAGCCCAAG
rnacentral:lncRNA from 1 species